rnacentral:misc_RNA from 1 species
GAAAGUAUCAUAAAAUAUCCCAUUGAUUUAAUUUAGGGAUAACACAAUAGACCGAGUUUACCAAAAAAUUUCUUGAUAAAAAUACAAAAUUCGUACAGAACAUGUGAAACAAAAUGGAAGUAUGCUUACAAACCACCAUUACAUUAGUAACCCAGCCAAUUGCCAGCUCAAAAUUAAUCACAAUUGGCUAUUAAACAGGAUCAGGCAUCUACUUGUACAUGUAAAAUUAAACAAGGCUAACUAUUACUUGUGAUUCGGUGGUUCAAUAGUUGAUCAAGCCCCACUGAAGAGGAAAAGAUUCUGAAAGCUAAAGCAUUUCCCACUUCGUUGACUCUGAAUAUUCUCCUUUACCAAUCCACAGAGCCAUCUAAUUCAUUCCUCUCCAGAGUAUCUGUCCAACCAGUCACAUUUGUAACGUCAAAUUCAACUUACUGAUUUUAUUGGAUACAAUAGAUUUCAGCAGAUUUAAUAGAAAACUGGAUAACUAGACCUUUAAGCAUGCGAUGUAGUUAAUAUUAAAGGCAUCUUAAUCAUACACCCUUGCUAUGUCAUGGACAUAUAUUCUGCUUUUAGCUUUUUAUAUUGCUGAAAUUGAUUCACAUUUACAAUAAUGAUAUACCAAACAGCAGAAUCAGAAUAGAAGCUCAGAUAUUAACACAAAUUCAUUCAUUCAGGAUACCCUUUGGUCCGGUCCUUCUUCUCUCAUUGCUCAUUAUCAUCGCAAAAUCAACAGAGAGACAAAUUACAGAUCCACACCUUUUGCAUUGAUACAGCCAAGUUGAGGUAGCCUUGUAUCACUUGUACGGCGCAAAAAGUAUUGAUGAAUUAUGGCCUCCAAACCCAAAUGAGUUAGACAAUGCAACCUUAACUUCCAAUCUCUCUUUCUUUGGGCCAACUAGAACUUUUGUCUCCACGCCUUCAUCUGGUUUUUCCAGGUUGGUGUUCGGAUGAAUCCAUCCUGUCCGUAUUGCCUGUAUUGCUGCAAUAGCUUCCACAGCACCAGCUGCUCCCAGUAGAUGGCCAAUCAUGGACUUUGUGGAGUUCACUCUCAAUUCAGGAUUUUGGCCAAAACAACGCAUGAGAGCUUCAUACUCUUUAAGGUCACCAGCUGGGGUGGACGUAGCAUGUGCAUUUAUGUAGUUUACAUCCUCCUUAGACACCCCAGCCUGGGCUAAUGCCUUUUCUAUACAGAGACUGACGCCAAUUCCAUCAGGAUGUGGUUCAGUCAUGUGAUAGGCAUCACAGGUAAAGCUCCCUCCAAGAAAUUCCGCAUAUAUAUUUGCACCUCUUUUCUUAGCAUGUUCUAGUUCUUCUAAUAGUAGAACACCAGCUCCUUCCCCCAUCACAAAUCCAUCCCGAUUCAUAUCCCAAGGUCGUGAAGCUUUCGUAGGAUCAUCAUUCCUCUGUGAAAGUGCUCUGCAUGCCACGAAACCCCCCAAGCCAAUAGGUAUAAUUGUUGCAUCUGAGCCACCACAAAGCAUGAUAUUAGCUUCGCCUCUAAUGAUGUGGUUUGCUGCAUUCAAUAUACAAAAGUUGCUGGUAGCACAAGCAGUGGAAAUUGAAUAGUUUGGCCCCAUCCAACCCAGGUCCAUUGCAAGCAUUGCAGAACCCAUAUUUGUAGUCGCAAAUGGUACACAGAAAGGAUUCAUCUUCUUGUAUGAGAUCCUUAGUGCUUCAAUUGCAUCAUUGAAAACCUUCAUGCCACCCAUUGCAGAGCCAAUCAAAACUCCACAUUUAGCUUUAUCCAACUCAUCCAUUAUAUCUUCAGUGAUGCCACCAUCAGCCAAGGCUUUUUUGCCAGCAGUAAGCAUGUAAAGCAUGAAUUUAUCCAUUCUCUUGGACAGUUUUGGUGCGACCCAUCCGUCAGUUGAGAAAGACUUGAUCUCUCCAGCAAUCCUCGUUGGAAAUUGGGAACAGUCAAAAGCCUCUAUCUGACUUAUGCCACUAACUCCUUCAAGCAGAUUGUUGUAGAAGACAUCUGGAUCAUGACCAAGGGGUGUCACGACACCCAUACCUGUCACAACCACUCGCCUUUGCUUCAUAACAGGUUUCUUCUUUGUUGCAACUUCCUUUUCAGGUUGUACAGCUACUGCCAUGACUUCCCCAGAAUGAGGAGGACGAUUGAGUCUUCGUCGGUUAAGAUUGAGAUUUCUGGAUCCAAAAAGGCCAUCGGAGCUGUAGUAGUGACUACAGGGCUCAAAAGCCAAACAAGUCAUCAAUCCUUGCAAGCUGGAUCCAGAAAAGGAAGAGGACAAACCUUUGGAGAGAAACUGAGAGCAGGUAGCAGCAACAGCAGAGCUGCCGCUGUUAUAUUUGGAGAGAAAAGCCCUUCUUCUGCGAGCCCAGCGGUUGAGUCUAUCGCCCAGUGGAGAUGAAUGAAACGUGUGGGUGCCGGUCCAAUUCUCCUUGGCGCACGUGACCGACAUGCACGCAGCCACCAGCCACGUGCAUAACGGAGACGAGAAGGAAGCUGACGCCAUCAUCUCUCGCUUUACAGAUAGUUAAAAUCGAAUAAAUACAAGAAAGAUUCAGAAGAAGAAGAAAGAAAUGCUAAUCUAAAUAUGGAGAAUCAGAAUCAGAGAAGAAUGAAUAGUAGAAGAAGGGGUCGCAUUCGAUCUCUGUAUCUGUAAGUGGCGUUUCUAAGUGAUACAGAGAAGCAGAGUGCCAAGUGCUCUUCUUACCUCAGCUCUGCGAAUACACAGAGGAGAGAUAGAGAGUGGAAAAUACUGUUUGCUGCAGAAAAACCAAAAAUGAAACAGAAAAUAAGCAAGGGAUCUCUGUGACCAGAAAUAUUGUUUUAUUUAUCGGUGUUGUGAGUAUUUUAAAUUUUAUGCCUUGAUGAUGCUCUGCCCUCCGUCUUCCUCUUUCUCUUCCUGACUCGACUGUGCUUCCGUCUUUGAAAUUACUUUCCUAUCCAUGCCAUUUCUUUU